AAAUGGAGUAGCAACAGAUUUCUCUGUCUUGAAUAGCAGCCAAAUUCCUGGAAGAGAAAAACACACAGAAGCCAAGUUGAACAAGACAAACCUGGACUACAGAUCUAAUUAUGUCGUGGCCAGCUCAUACUACAGCACCAUCAAUAAGCAAACCACAUCUCAUAUUACAACAGUCCAAGGAUACUGCAUUUGUUAUGUACCUUGGAGAGAGAAAAGCUUCUAACUGGACUGCAUUUUUGUCUUGACUUUAAAUUAAGCAUUUUAUACUGUUUUCAAAGACACUUCACUGGUUAUACCUGUUUUUAAAGGUAUUUCCAUAGUUGGGACAGGACAGGUAGAAAUAUUGAAUUAAUUAAUUAAAAAUCAGUUUCAUUUAAGUAAAUAGGCACAAUUUAAUAACUUUAUGAGACUGACUACCCAUCAAAGACAUGUUUAUCAAUGUGGAAUAGACAGAGCCAGAAGAAAUGGAAAGUAGGUGUGGGUGAGAAGGGCGGGGCAUAAAUGUUGUAAAUAAAUAAAUAAAUAAAUAA